CACCGCCCACCGCGCGGGCCGUUACCCGACCCGCCGCCGCGCGCGUCCCGCGCCCUGCGCCCUGCAGCCGGGUCCUCCCCGCGCCCCCAUGGUGGUUCUCCCUGGGCGCCACUUCCAGGGUGCGCCGUCCCUGCUCCCCCUAAGCAAGUACUCCCCGAGCCCCUUCCAGGGUCCAAGGAUUGUGGAGAGUCUGAUGACCAUUUGGAGCCAGCAAGACCAGUGGCCCGGGUGCCCCCAGCUGAGAAGAGCAUGAAGUGGAGGGAGUGGCAUCCCAGACGGAGAGAAGCAGGUGUCCCAGCCAAAGUGUGGAGCCAAGAUCAACACCACUGCUGGGGGCCAAGGGAAAGGAGGUGUCGGGGGCUCCAGGUUGCUGGUCUGAGUAACGCUGUGGGUUACUGCCCUGUUGGCUCAGAUCAGGCAGGCCUGUGGCUGCAGGAGGACUGUUUAGUUUGAGGGAAAUCCCUGUGGGACAUGGAGGGGAGCAUUCAGGGCUGAGCACAGGAUGCCACAGUGGUGGGGGAGGCCCCCAGGCACAGAGCCUAGAGGGAACCCCACCACCAACAGCUCCAUCCAGGGGACCAGGGAGGUGGGCAGGAGCCCAGAGCGUGUGCUCGGGUGAAAGCCAGACGGGGGUCCAAGGAGGGCAGUGGGCCAAACGCUACAUACUGCCGAGCAGCCCUGGCCUCCAGAAAGGGAGCUGCCCAUUGGUUAGCAGCGGGGCCACCAUCUUUCCCAGGAGCUGGCUGGGAAGGGCAGCCAGGGUGAGCUGAGGGGUGUGGAACCACAGUGUGACUGAUGGUGGCUGGAAGGGGACAGCAGGGGCAGGAGCUCAUACAGGGGAAGGGCUGAUGAUGUUCAGGCAGUUUCCCCCACAGGGAAUGGUCUCCCUCCCUCCCCACAGGCCCCUGUCCUAACGUCGGGGCCGGCAUCUCCUCAUCAGGACAAUGAAGCUGCAGCAUAAAAUCUGCUUCCACCAAUAACUAACAAACUGACCAAAAAGUUAGUGAGAACUACCAAAAAAUGCCUAGGCAGCUGUUAAGCAUACAGAGAGCCAGAAACUUCAUGCUUCAUAAAGUGCCUGCUUCUGCCUCUCUCCCAGAAAUAGGAUGGGCUUCAACCUGAGAACAUGGCACCCUGGCGAGGACUCUUGCCCUGCCCCAGCUGAAGAGAGGGGCAGGCUGAAGCAUGGAGCUGUUCUCCUUCCUCCAGGGAGGGUGCAGGAGAAACGGCUUCUGGAGAGCGGGCAGUCAAGGCUGACUUUCAUGGGAAGUGAGGCCACUGGGGUCCAGUGUCUCGGGGAAGCCAUCUGAAUUCCAAGUCUCCCCACCAGGGAUAAGAAUAUGCCCCUCACAGAGCAGAGUGACAUUUAAUAAAAUCUCAGGAGACACCGCAGAGCCUAGCUCCUCCAGCUGGUUUCUGAACUGCUUUCCCCCAUCUCCAGACUAACCAAAAAAAGGGGGAUUGCAUACAGUGCCCUGCUCUUAAACCAGCUCAGAGGCAAGUCAACAGACCUCAGAUAAUUUGCAAAAAAGACUUACAAAUUCAUCCAUUUAGUAGCACAGCAAAUAGACAUUCAGGAGAGAGUUCCUCAGUGGGAAGAGGAAUGACAUGUAAGAAGGCAUGGCGACCACAUGCACUCAACAACACGAAAAACAUCGGAGGAGGCGGAGGGAGGCAGCGAGGGGCGGAUGAAAACCCAGCAGAGAGGAAAGUACAGCUCAAGAAGCACACGACACCACCCAGGAGCGCUGCAGGUCGUAGGAGCUUCAUAACAUGAGACCCGUGAUCAGAAGCUCAAACACGAGAUGGCACAACAGCAGGAUGAGAGCAAGACCUAGGAGCUGAGGGGACACCUUUCCCCAGAGUCACACAGCUGCUGGAGCAAGUCGGCCACAGCAGGGGCAGGAUGUCCAUCACCACGACCGGAAAGGCCGGACACCAUCUCGGGGCAGGACCAGCCACGACCACAAUCACUAAUUCCUUCCACGGUUACUGCCUGAGCGCCACUUCAUGCCACACUGUUGAGAUGCCGAGGUCGGGGGACAAGUGCUGCCCUUGGGGGGUAUGCAGUCUAGCAGGAGGAGGGGAGAGAGAAUGAACAAAUCAUGGAUGGUGAUGUCACGGGCUUGGAAGACAAAAUGCCGAGGCUAAGGGGACUGGGGGGUCAGAGUGAGGGGCACUGUUUGUUUAGAGAGGUUAGGACAUCCGCCAAGGAGGGACCCAUGCAGUCUCACGGGAGGCCAAGAGGCACAGGGGCCCCUCUUUGGGGCCGCAUCCCUGGGCAGGGCCUGAUGGGGCCCGUGGGGACUUUGGCUUUCCAACACUGGAGGGCUCUGAGUGGCCUGAGCCGAACUUUGUCCAAAAGCAUCCCUCGGCUGUUGUGUGGUGAGGGUGAGAGAAGAGGCAGGCGAUGGGAGGGCAUGGAAGCUGGCAUGAGGCAGAGGGGGAAAGCUCUCAGGGAUGCGCCACAGAAAGUCCCUGAGCGACGGGGCCCCACGCGCGGAAGGCUUGAGCCACACUCCAGAAAGCCUGAGUGUGGUCCACACCGAGGCCUAUCAUACCAGAGUGACUGUACUUGAAGGAUUAAUGCAACUGGCGUUCAGGAAAAGCACAUCACGUACAAGGACAAAAACCAGGUUGGCCCUGAUUUCGCCAGCAACACUGAAAUAAAGUUCUUUAAAAAGGCAAAAGCUGACCUUCAAUGCAGCCAAUGAGGAGAGAGUUAAACAAAGACUCUGAGUGGCGAGCUCGCGGCGGGCUUCCCUGCACGGGGGACCACUUGGGAGGUGACAGCUUGUGGAGUAAGCAUGAGACACUGCUGGCACAAGGCCACAGGAGUAUGUCUCCCACUCGGGCAGGGCGACGGACGUAUAGGUGCCAGCUCUUCACCAUUCCGAGCCAGAAGCCGAGGCCGCUGCUGAAAAAGCACACGACACCCAUCUCUUAAUGUUUUUGGAAUUUCUAAAAAGUCUUAGGAGAAUCUCUUCAACUUGGAGUGAAGAACCAUUCAUUAAAUAUCAGUAAUCAUGUUUUACCUUAAAA